GGCAAGGUGGCCGAGCGGUCCAAGGCGCCACGUUAAGGAAUCCAUCCUUAAUCUUGAAAUCCGUGGUCUCGAAAGGGGCGUGAGUUCGAAUCUCACCCUUGUCA
rfam:Thielavia terrestris NRRL 8126 chromosome 2, complete sequence.